rnacentral:lncRNA from 1 species
AUGGUCGAAACUUUAAAGUUAGUUUAUGUUCUGAUUCUAUUUUAUUCCAUAUUUCUUGGCAUAAUAGUAUGUAAUUCUUCUCUAAUUUCGUAAAGGCUUCUGUGUACAGAUCUGAAACAUACUAAUGAUAUAAAUGAGCUCUUGCUCUAGCAAGAUAAUUGUAUGAUAUAUCUUAUGUUAAAAUGUUUCAUUUGUUAUCAUU